CAAACUACGGCCCGCGGGCCGGAUACGGCCCGUCAGCACAUUUGGCCCGGCCCUCUGAACAAUACCAGAGACGCUAUCGAAUUUUUUUCCUAUUUGGCCUCCAGAAAAAAAAUCCUAGGCCCGGCCCUGUCAAAGAGAGAACGGAAUAAUGGCGAAAAGGUUAGGUAAGAGAAAAAUUUAUUCAGAAUGCAGGGUAUUUAACCUGCAGUGGACAAACAUUUUUUUUUUUGUUCAAUGCAAAGAAAAGGCUGUUUGUCUCAUCUGUCAAGAGACGGUGGCGGUAUUCAAAGAAUACAAUCUUCGCCGACACUAUGAAUCCCGUCACAAAGACAAGUACGAUAGCUUGCAAGGCCAAAUACGAGCAGACAAACUCUCAAAGCUAAAAAGUGGACUACUAUCUCAGCAGAAUACAUUUGUACGCCAAGCUCAGCUGAACCAGGCAUCCGUUCGGGCCAGCUUUCGGGUUGCUAAACUGAUAGCAAGAAGCGGUAAGCCUUUCACUGACGGAGAGUUUGUUAAGAAAUGUAUGGAUGCUGUCGCGGAGGAGGUGUGUCCCGAGAAGAAAGAUGCAUUUAAUGCCGUAAGUCUGUCGGCGAGUACAAUCACCAGACGCGUUGAAGAAAUCGAGAGUAAUGUAUAUGCCCAGCUGCAGCAGAAGACGAAAGAAUUUGACUUUUUUUCAUUAGCACUGGAUGAGAGCACGGACGUGCAAGACACAGCGCAACUGCUCAUUUUUAUUCGUGGAGUUAGCGCAAACUUUGAGAUAUGCGAGGAGCUGGCAGCCCUCCAAAGUCUCAAAGGGACUACAACGGGAGAGGAUAUUUUUGACAAAGUGUGCCAAACCAUGGAGAAGUUGGACUUGGACUGGUCAAAGCUAGCUAGCAGUUUUUGGCAGCACGUAUAUCUGCGAGAAAACCUUUUCUCGCAUGAAACUGCUGAAAACCCCGAUGAGAUCAAGAUUGACAGAUGAACAUUUGCAUCAGUGCUUGAGACUGGCUGUAACUAGAAUGGAACCUGAUAUUCAACUUCUCACCAGCCAGAUGCAGGCCCACAGUUCACACUGAUGAACAUACAUAGGGAAGUUGAUGAGAGAGAGCUGCAAACAGCGGUGUCUACAAGCCUACUGGAACCUACAAAAGGAUUAUAAGGAAGGAACACAAGAACUUUAAGAGACUGCUCAUAUGUGUCAGAGAUUCUGCUCUGACAACUGAGCUGAACUUUUAUCUGUUAAGAUUGUGCAUGGCACGACAGAAAGUUAAUGUUCCAUGGCUUUUUUUUCUAUGAAGAACCCAGAGAGAGUUAUUUAGUUAUUAUUUAUUUCCUGUUUUUUCUGUGAAGAACUCAGAGAGGGUUAUUUAGUUAUUAUUUAUUUCAUUAAUAGUGUUAUUAUUUGUUUCCUGACUUUUUUUCUGUAAAGAACCUGGAAAGGGUUAUUUGGUUAUGUGUGGCUUUCUGGAAAACAAUAAAAAUUUUAAGCUCCC